rnacentral:piRNA from 1 species
AGCAGUGACCUGAACAGCGAGCAGA